ACACGACUACAUUAGAUACCCGGGUAGUCCUGGCCGUAAACGAUGUAGACUUGGUGUUGGAAUGGCUCCGAGCUGCUCCAGUGCCGAAGGGAAGCUGUUAAGUCCACCGCCUGGGAAGUACGGUCGCAAGACUGAAACUUAAAGGAAUUGGCGGGGAGCACAACAACGGGUGGAGCUUGCGGUUUAAUUGGAUUCAACGCCGGAAAUCUUACCGGGACCGACAGCAACAUGAAGGCCAAGCUGAAGACUUUGCCGGAUUAGCUG
rnacentral:rRNA from 1 species